rnacentral:lncRNA from 1 species
CAGAAAAGGAACUGCUGGGGUAAAAUGGCAACAUGCUGGGAGAACACAGGUUUGCAGCUCUUGUGGGAGAAAUACUUUCAAGAAGAAAGAAGUAGUUAAUAAUGCAAAAUACUCAGGUGAGCACCAGGGAAUAAAGGAUGGAGAAAUAUUUUGAAUUUUUCAGGACAAUAUUUAGUGUGAGUAAAUUUAGAAGGCACAAAAACUGAACAGCUGAAAUGAUCUGUGAGAAGAUAGAUAUUGUCAUGGACUGAAGACCAAGGUUACAUGGAAAGAGAAAUGGACUGGAUAAUAGUUGAAAAGAUUAGACAGCAAACAUGUUUUUCUUUUAAGAAAAGAUAAGAAGAUUGAUUGAGGUCAAAGUGCAAUGAGUCAAGGAUAGUGACAACUGGAAGAACAGGAAGCAGUUUGGCGGUGGCGGAUAGGUGAGGCACAAGGACGUCAGCACUGGAUUCAGACAAACCGGGUUUGGAUCUUGUGUCUGCUACUGACCAGCUGUGUAACCUUGGGCAAUUUGCUUCAACUCUGGGUCUCAGAUUCCUUAUUAUAAAGUAAGCUUUUCUAAAAAAAAAAAAAAAGGUGAAAAUUAAAAUAGGUGAAGGCGUGUAUUGCGCGUGUACUUUGGGUGGCCCUGUGCUGCGUCAGCUGGAAGGGAUCC